rnacentral:ncRNA from 2 species
UCCACCCCCGUGGGAGAGGCCGGCCCAAGCCGGCGCCGAAGGCGCAAUCCCGCCCGGAAUCGCUCAGGCAAAAGGACCGUGGGGGGAAG